UCUAGUACAUCUAUAGCUUAGUAAUGAUUGGGUUAAUAUGAUGGUGAAGUGGCGUGUUGCUAUAUAUAUUAGAAAAUGAUGUCACUAAUAUGCCAAAUCUGACACCACUAAAGUCCAGCUCAGACAUAAUUCGUUGAGCACAUUCUGUAUUGUCCCACCUCACAUGCUACUACUGAUAUUUGUGUUGACCAUGGGAGGAGUAAACAAGUCAGAGAAAAUGGUUCGAUGGACCCUUGUAUUAUAUCCGUUUUGUAAUGUGGAUACUUCUACUUACAUGUUUGUCAUCUGAACCCUUGAAUCCAUUAAAAAACAAUAUUUUAAACCCUAUUUCGGUAUGUGUAACACACUUUCCUCCAUGUCAGCUGCCACUUUAUUUUUAAAUAUUAUAUUAAAUUCUACAUCAGUUUCCACAUCAUUUUAAAUACAGCAUUAAAUUCCACAUAAGAAAUUAAAUAUUUAAAAAAUAAAAAAACACGUCACCAUCGCUGCCACACCGCCGGAAUACCCACGAAAACCAAACCAAAUCGAGCUUUACCUUGUUCUUUAAAUUCCGACCAAAACCAACGAAAACACCAACCAAAACCUACGAAAACAUCAAUUUUGGUUGAGCUACGAAUAGAAGAUAAGAAAAGAGUAAGCGAUGGCAAAUCCAAGAAGGACAUCAUUUUUCCCUUUGAGUAACCAUAACCAUAACCACCACAAACUUGGAAUCUCCACCGCCUCUUUUCACAAUCAAAAUCAAAAUCAGAUUCAGGGGACCCAAAUCUCAAGUUUGAUGAAUUCACUCAAAUCUUUCCUCAAGAAACCACAUGCUUCCCUUUUUCUGCUGUCCCUUUUCCUUUUUCGAGAUUCAAGUAAGUUUAUUUGAUGAAGAAAGGGGAGAAUUCAGGUGAGCAAUGGUAACAACUCAACCAAUGUUCAAUCAAAAUUAAUCCUGUAUCAAUCACAACACCUACAACUCUAUUUUCUUUCAUUAACGAUGAGUUUCUUCUCUAACAACCACAAUCUAUCCACCAUUAGAAAAGCUUCAAGAUUCGGUAAAUCCAACUAAACAGACCUUCACCCUUCGUUUCUCAUAUGAAUGAACUGAAAAAAUUGAAAAAUUUACUCGAUAAAUUAGCAAAUUUCGUAGUUUCUUCUUUGAUUUAAGAAGAUUUUUAAUUAGGAUAAUUGUUUGAGAAAAUUAGAAUAGAGAUACGAUGGUGGUGGAAAAUGAAGAGGUAGGGAUAUGGUGAUGGUGAAUAUGGAGGAUUAGUGGCUUGACAGUGGUGGAAUGGAGGUGAAAAUAGAGGAAAUGGAGGUUGGGGGGGGGAGUGGUUUACGGUGGGUGGUGAAAAAGAGAAAGGAGAUUUUAUUUACUUAUUUAUUUAUAUUACCUUUAAUUGAAAAAAGUCUUAUAAUUCUUUUAAAAAAAUAUUUUAAAGGUAAAAAAAUUGGCCUCACUCAUUGAAACGCGCGUGUUUUACAUGCAUUUUGCCAAAUCAUCAAGUUAAUGCCACAUAAGCAAAUAAGGGUUUAAAAUGUUGCUUUUUAAGGGGUUUAAGGGUCCAGAU
rnacentral:lncRNA from 1 species